AAUUCCAGACACCUGGGCUAGAAGCUCAUCUACAAGGUCUAUAAGCAUGUUUCCGUGAUUUACAACACAGAAGUGACACUUCCUUCCACACAGAAGUAUAGGUUAAAGAUUAUAACUCUGCAAAUCACUUACUCAAAUUUCUCAUUAUAGACCUCUGCAACUGGAUCCUGCUGUGUAAGUUCUUUUAACAGAGAUCUCAGUGAAGUGUAACAACCUUCUUGGCUGAUAACUUUCUUCAGAUGUAAACUUCAAAUGCAACUACCCUUAGAAUAAGCUGCCUUCACAAGUAGAGCUUCUUGACAUCUGCUUUGUG
rnacentral:lncRNA from 1 species